GGAACGAACGCUGGCGGCGUGCCUAACACAUGCAAGUCGAGCGGUAACAGGUGUAGCAAUACAUGCUGACGAGCGGCGAGCGGGUGAGUAAUGCUUCGGAAUCUGCCCAUGUAGUGGGGAAUAACUAGCCGAAAGGUUAGCUAAUACCGCAUACGACCCCCCUUUUAAUCGAGAGGGAUGAAAGCAGGGGAUCGCAAGACCUUGCGCUAUUGGAUGAGCCGAAGUCGGAUUAGCUAGUUGGUAGGUAACGCUACAAGGCGACAAUCCGUAGCUGGUCUGGAGAGGACGACCAGCCACACUGGGACUGAGACACGG
rnacentral:rRNA from 1 species